rnacentral:rRNA from 1 species
GAUGAACGCUGGCGGCGUGCUUAACACAUGCAAGUCGAACGGGAAACCUUUUAAUGAAGCUUCGGCAGAUUUAGCUGGUUUCUAGUGGCGGACGGGUGAGUAACGCGUGGGUAACCUGCCCUAUACAGGGGGAUAACAACCAGAAAUGGUUGCUAAUACCGCAUAAGCGCACAGGACCGCAUGGUCCGGUGUGAAAAACUCCGGUGGUAUAGGAUGGACCCGCGUUGGAUUAGCCAGUUGGCAGGGUAACGGCCUACCAAAGCGACGAUCCAUAGCCGGCCUGAGAGGGUGAACGGCCACAUUGGGACUGAAACACGGCCCAGACUCCUACGGGAGGCAGCAGUGGGGAAUAUUGCACAAUGGGGGAAACCCUGAUGCAGCGACGCCGCGUGAAGGAAGAAGUAUCUCGGUAUGUAAACUUCUAUCAGCAGGGAAGAUAGUGACGGUACCUGACUAAGAAGCCCCGGCUAACUACGUGCCAGCCGCCGCGGUAA